UACAGAGGGGGCAAGCGUUGUUCGGAAUUACCGGGCGUAAAGGGCGCGUAGGCGGCCGCCUAAGUCAGACGUGAAAUCCCUCGGCUCAACCGGGGAACUGCGUCUGAUACUGGGUGGCUUGAAUCCGGGAGAGGGAUGCGGAAUUCCAGGUGUAGCGGUGAAAUGCGUAGAUAUCUGGAGGAACACCGGUGGCGAAGGCGGCAUCCUGGACCGGCAUUGGCGCUGAGGCGCGAAAGCCAGGGGAGCAAACGGG
rnacentral:rRNA from 1 species